rnacentral:misc_RNA from 1 species
CAAAAUUCAAGCUCAGCUUGGUGAUGGGCGCCUGUCCCGCCUCCGCGCGCGGACUCGCCUCAAAAGCAGUUGGCAGCUCCCUUUUCGGCUCUAAACGCAGCAGAUUUGCGUGAUGCGGCGAGAGGAGGGGCUUACCAGUAAGCAAAAACACCCCA